rnacentral:rRNA from 1 species
AUGGCUCAGGAUGAACGCUGGCGGCGUGCUUAACACAUGCAAGUUGCGCGGUGAUCUCAAGAAGUUUCGGACGGAAAGGGAGAGCAGCAGCGGACGGGUGAGUAAAGCACAAGGACUUGUCCCGAAGAGGGGGACAACUGUGGGAAACCACAGCUAAUACCCCAUAAGCCGAGAGGUGAAAGCAGCGAUGCGCUUUAGGAGAGACUUGUGUCCUAUCAGGUAGUUGGUGAGGUAACGGCUCACCAAGCCGAAGACGGGUAGCCGGACUGAGAGGUUGUACGGCCACAUUGGAACUGAGAGACGGUCCAGACUCCUACGGGAGGCAGCAGUGGGGAAUAUUGGGCAAUGGGGGGCCAACCCUGACCCAGCGACGCCGCGUGAGGGAAGACAGCCUUCGGGUUGUAAACCUCUGUUGCAGGGGAAGAAGAAAGUGACGGUACCCUGCGAGGAAGCUCCGGCAAACUACGUGCCAGCCGCCGC